AUCGCUUCUCGGCCUUUUGGCUAAGAUCAAGUGUAGUAUCUGUUCUUAUCAGUUUAAUUUCUGAUACGUCCUCUAUAUGAGGACUACAUAUUAAAGAGAUUUUUAGAACAGGGAGACGGAAGAGGGGCAGUCGUGGGCUGGAGGUUAGGGAACUGGCCCUGUGACCCGGAAGGUCGCCGGUUUAAUCCCC
rnacentral:snRNA from 1 species